GCCAUUUUGUAUGUCUCAGUAGGUAAGUGUAGACUUUUUUUCUCUGUCGGUAUUCCUAGUAGGUAUUUACAAGUAGCAAGCGUACUUGUAUACGUAUGCAGUAUAAUCAAAACUAUGGAUAUUAAUAAUCAUACGGAAUUAAUACGACAAGAGAUAAUAAAAAAUCACCUACAAUUCAGUGCUUUAAUACAAGAUAUACAACAAUGUACUGGCCCUUUAGAAUUACUCAAUGAACUUAAUGCAGAAGGAAGGGAAAAAAUUACAGCAUUAAGAUCCAGUAUAGAUAAAUUAACUUCUCUAGCUGAAACCGAAAUAAAUGAAAAGGAAAGAACGGAAUUGUUAGCUGAAGUUGAAACAUACAAAAAACAGUUAACUGCAUCUCUUGGGACAUUUCGUAAAGCCAAUGUCAUUAGUGCAUGUAUCAUAGAUAAAUUGGCAAGAGAGGAUUUACUUUCAAUAUCUGAAGAACAACAAAAUGCUCUUCGUAAAAGACGGGAUAAGCAGGGUUUAGCAAGCGCAUCUAAUCAAGUGACAGACAAACUAUUAAGUAUUUCGAGACAUUUAGCUGAAACUACUCAGAAAAGUGGGGACACAUUAGACACACUGUUAACAUCAUCCGACAAAGUGUCUAGUACUAAAAAUGAAUUAGAACAUCAACAGCAGGUCAUAGUACAAUCGGGAAAGUUAUUAGGGAAAUAUGGUAGAAGGGAGGUUACAGACAAAGUGCUACUUGUUUUAGCAUUUGCUUUUUUCCUUGCUUGUGUCUUUUAUAUUUUACAAAAGCGACUGUUUUGAAGAGGAUCAAAUUACAUUUUUACAAAAUAAUUGAUUAAAAAAGGAUCAGUCAGAUAUAUAAUAUUUGUACUGAAUUUAUAAAGGAUAUUAGAGCAUAUAUUUUAGGUACUAUGGACAUUGUUUUCAGUCUAUGUUACCACCAAAAAUUAUUAAAUUCCGUCAGUUGAUUUUGAAUAAGAGUAUCCUGUAAGAAAAAGAUAAUGACUUUUUUUCUUAAAGAAUAUUACAUUAAAUGUCUUUCUAUCAUUUUUUGUCAGUUAAAGAUUUUGCAAUAAAAAGUAAUAAUAUUAUUUAUUAUAUAAUUAAACUCUAAUAAUUGCUCGUACAUUUUUGCAGCUGGCUAUGAAUUCCUCUAUGGAUAUCAUUCCGUCCUUAUCAGUAUCCAUCUUUUCAAAAAGUCUGUCCACGUGCCUGUUUACCAUACUCCAAACAGUUUGAUCAUUGUUUACCAUUUCAUAAAUUGCAAAGAUAGCGGUGAUCAUCUCGUGUUUCGAGAUCCAACCGUCGCCAUUCAAAUCAUAAAAUCUAAAAGCAAAAUCACCCAGUGGAAAGAGUUUCGCAUAGGCUGGCUUGAUAUCAUUGGUAGUAACGGUUCCUCUUGGACAAUACUGUUUGAAAGCACGAUAUAGUCUUUGUAUCUCUUCCUUUGAAAAUCCUGUACCGUGGAUCAAAGAAGACAAUCGUUCUGGAAGGACGUACGUUUCCUGCUUUUCUUCGUCCUGAAAAUUCUCUGCGAAUAUAUAUACGCGAUAAGAAGAGAUGGGGAUAGAAAUUCGAAAGGAACUUCAUGUCACAUUAAUUAUCUUAAUAAUUAAUGCAUCUUAUAAUAUAUACCGGUUAUUCUUUGAAUGCUCUUUUUAACUUUUUUAAGGCUACGUUGCAUUUUCCAUGACAAGCUAGGUCGACGCGGAACUUCCGAUCUAUCUUGAUCACAAUUAUAGGACAUAAUCGUAUUUAUGAAUGAUUACCCUCAGUUAAUGGGCAUCAUUUCGUUUCAGAGAAGCCAGGCGCAAAAUUACAAAGAAAAACAAAUAAAUCAAUAUAAGAAUCGUUAAUGGCUGAUUUGCAGAUCCGAUAUAACAAAAGUUUUUAUCGUCACAUUAAAACAUGUGUUUGACAAUUAGUAUAAAAAAUCGAUUGAUCGGUUCUCUUCCGAUCGCGCUUAUUUUGUUUCAAAGUUGCCUUUGGCGGUACUCCAAAGAGAGAGAGAGAGAGAGAGAGAGAGAGAGAGACGGUGACGUCGCAUUAAAAGAAUCGGUGAUUCGUUAAAGCCGGCCGCCGCAGACGAAAGCGCAGAAACCGUCUCAAUCGCGAACUGAACGGAACUGACGCACGUGGCAUCGAUGACCCUUGCUGUUGACUAUGAGAAGCGGUUUCGAGGAAACCAGUCGCUAAAAUAUUUAGACGAUUCCUCGUGACCGUGCUUCUCUGCUAGAUUUUCAACGAUAUGCCUGGCUCUUUGAGCAGGCACAUUGCCACGAAACGUAUUAAAGAACGUUUGAAAUCUUAAGAGCCUUUAAACGAUUUCCUUGUUUUAUUUUCAAGUUUUCUAAUAUCGUAUUUAAAAGCACGUAAAUAAUUCCAGUAAUUUUCCGUUCAUUCUGUUUUUAUUUCUUUUCGUACUUCUUGACAAUAUAUAGAUAUUGUUUUAUCAAAAGAACGUAGCGACCACUUGAUAUUCACUCGUGCAAAGUUAUUCCUUCGGAAUACAAAUAAUUUGCACAUGCACGAUGGAGGGAUUUCUUUGUUACAUUUAAUUCAUAUAUUCUCGAGAACGUUCCUUUCGACGAGGAAAUAUAUCUUGAAAUGAUAAAAAGAAAAAAAAAUUGAUAAAUUUUUUAUUCCGAUCUAAUAAUUUUUUCUUUUCAUCCUAGAAAGAUGACCGUGAAAGUUAUUGUUAUCAAUGGUCGAGAUUCGUCAUUGCUAACCCUGUCAUAUCUAAUAGAGGUUUCUUUUUUCUUUUCAUCCUAGGAAGAUGACCAUGACCAAUUAUUCUUAUCAACGGUCGAGGUUCACCAUUGCUAACUCUGUCACAAUCAAUAAUGAUCCAUACGAUAAAUAGACAUAUUUCCAAGAUAUGUACUCGUUACCGAAUUAUAGAAAAUCGGAUUGCGGUGAACUGCUUCGGAUAAAACGAAAUUUUUUUCUAUUAGGAAUUGUAUUAGAAAUAUAAAAGGCAAAGUAUCCUCAAGCACGGAUCUGUUGUCAACGAACGAACGUGUUCGCAUGUUUAAUCGUUACGAUUUUUCUGAGCGGUGGUAGGGCAAGCUUGGUAUAUAAAAGAACAGUCAAUAGUGUCUUGAAGAGAAGAGUGGUGCAUAAAUUGGAACAGUAAUAUAUUUAGAGGAAAAAAAAAAAAAA